CGUUCCGGUGGCAUAGUGGUCAGAGCGUCCGCCUCGAAUACGGGAGGUCGUGAGUUCUAUCCCCAGCUGAGUGA